rnacentral:rRNA from 1 species
AGUGAACGCUGGCGGUAGGCCUAACACAUGCAAGUCGAACGGCAGCACAGUAAGAGCUUGCUCUUACGGGUGGCGAGUGGCGGACGGGUGAGGAAUACAUCGGAAUCUACUUUUUCGUGGGGGAUAACGUAAGGAAACUUACGCUAAUACCGCAUACGACCUUCGGUUGAAAGCAGGGGAUCUUCGGACCUUGCGCGAUUGGAUGAGCCGAUGUCGGAUUAGCUAGUUGGCGGGGUAAAGGCCCACCAAGUCGACGAUCGGUAGCUUGUGUGAGAGGAUGAUCAGCCACACUGGAACUGAGACACGGUCCAGACGACUACGGGAGGCAGCAGUGGGGAAUAUUGGACAAUGGGCGCAAGCCUGAUCCAGCCAUACCGCGUGGGUGAAGAAGGCCUUCGGGUUGUAAAGCCCUUUUGUGGGGAAAGAAAAGCAGCCGGUUAAUACCCCGCUGUUCUGACGGUACCCAAAGAAUAAGCACCGGCUAACUUCGUG